CCUACGGGAGGCAGCAGUGGGGAAUAGUGCACAAUGGGGGAAACCCUGAUGCAGCGACGCCGCGUGAGUGAAGAAGGAUUUCGGUACGUAAAGCUCUAUCAGCAGGGAAGAAAAUGACGGUACCUGACUAAGAAGCCCCGGCUAACUACGUGCCAGCAGCCGCGGUAAUACGUAGGGGGCAAGCGUUAUCCGGAUUUACUGGGGGUCAAGGGAGCGUAGACGGCAGCGCAAGUCUGGAGUGAAAUCCAAGGGCUUAACCAUGGAACGGCUUUGGAAACUGUGCAGCUAGAGUGCAGGCGAGGUCAGCGGAAUUCCUAGUGUCGCGGUGAAAUGCGUAGAUAUUAGGCGGCACCCCAGUGGCGAAGGCGGCUUACUGGACUGUACCUGACGUUGAGGCUCG
rnacentral:rRNA from 1 species